UCAAAAUCCUGGAUCUACCUAUGGUUUUUACUCAUGUGAGCAGUGCCUGCCUCCCCAUUUUAUGGUCCAGUUUUAUAUUUUCUCCCCUAAAAAAGAAAGGCAAGUUUAAACUAGGAGACAGAAUAGCGAUUUAAUGUUUUCAGGAUGCAUAGAAAAGUAACAGAAGCUCAUUCUCCCACAUUGUGUUAGAAGAUGCCACAAUAUGGUGGACAGAUGACUAUGGGGGAGCAUAACAUUCAAACAUGGUUAAAAAUGCCUUGAAAAGGAAGACACAUACUUGCUGAGUGUUUUUAAGUGUUAGCUACAACAUUUUUUGGUAGCUCUCCACAUCAAAAAAACAAGUUGUUGAUAUACAGCUUGGGACACCUCACCAAAGCUCCAGAGUUUCUGAAAAUUUCACAACCCAUUUAUAAACUACCAUUAGCAAGUUUCUUAUUUUUAAUAAAUAAAAUCCCAUUGAAACAAAACAUAUUUACAAUUAGACCAAAAUUGUUCAUGUAAUUCACGAGAAAAAUGUUAUUUUUGAGAAAACGCUUUUAUAUCUUCACUACAGUCAUUUGUUCUAAAUUAGUACAUAUCAAUUGUCCAUUAAAUGAACAUUUUCCCCUUAAGACCUAUAGUUGUAGAAAAAAUAUUUUAGGAGGGGCUUCCUGACCAUUACGUUACUGUUUAGAAUCAUAACCUUUUUGUGAAAAACCCUGCAGAUAACUAUAACGAUCUAGAUACUGUGUGACUGUAUUGCACUGAUUUAUUUAAAAUGUGCCACUGCUAAACUGCUACUUUUCUUAAACAUGCAUGUCUGUAACCAAGUAAAAUUAAGCUAUUUGAGUAAAUGUGCUUUUUGGUUACACAUGUUUUCCUGUAAUGAAGCCAUGACCUUAAUUUAAUUUUCUUUGAGUUUCAUCCACUGUCCUUUUCAGAAAGCGCUUUAGUUUUAAAUCUGUAAGAACUUGCUCUGCAGUUAUUCUUUUCACAGGAACUAAUUCUGUG